GACGAACGCUGGCGGCGUGCUUAACACAUGCAAGUCGAACGGAAAGGCCCUGCUUUUGUGGGGUGCUCGAGUGGCGAACGGGUGAGUAACACGUGAGUAACCUGCCCUUGACUUUGGGAUAACUUCAGGAAACUGGGGCUAAUACCGGAUAGGAGCUCCUGCUGCAUGGUGGGGGUUGGAAAGUUUCGGCGGUUGGGGAUGGACUCGCGGCUUAUCAGCUUGUUGGUGGGGUAGUGGCUUACCAAGGCUUUGACGGGUAGCCGGCCUGAGAGGGUGACCGGCCACAUUGGGACUGAGAUACGGCCCAGACUCCUACGGGAGGCAGCAGUGGGGAAUAUUGCACAAUGGGCGGAAGCCUGAUGCAGCAACGCCGCGUGCGGGAUGACGGCCUUCGGGUUGUAAACCGCUUUCGCCUGUGACGAAGCGUGAGUGACGGUAAUGGGUAAAGAAGCACCGGCUAACUACGUGCCAGCAGCCGCGGUGAUACGUAGGGUGCGAGCGUUGUCCGGAUUUAUUGGGCGUAAAGGGCUCGUAGGUGGUUGAUCGCGUCGGAAGUGUAAUCUUGGGGCUUAACCCUGAGCGUGCUUUCGAUACGGGUUGACUUGAGGAAGGUAGGGGAGAAUGGAAUUCCUGGUGGAGCGGUGGAAUGCGCAGAUAUCAGGAGGGACACCAGUGGCGAAGGCGGUUCUCUGGGCCUUUCCUGACGCUGAGGAGCGAAAGCGUGGGGAGCGAACAGGCUUAGAUACCCUGGUAGUCCACGCUGUAAACGGUGGGUACUAGGUGUGGGGUCCAUUCCACGGGUUCCGUGCCGUAGCUAACGCUUUAAGUACCCCGCCUGGGGAGUACGGCCGCAAGGCUAAAACUCAAAGGAAUUGACGGGGCCCCGCACAAGCGGCGGAGCAUGCGGAUUAAUUCGAUGCAACGCGUAGAACCUUACCUGGGUUUGACAUGGAUCGGGAGUGCUCAGAGAUGGGUGUGCCUCUUUUGGGGUCGGUUCACAGGUGGUGCAUGGCUGUCGUCAGCUCGUGUCGUGAGAUGUUGGGUUAAGUCCCGCAACGAGCGCAACCCUUGUUCACUGUUGCCAGCACGUUAUGGUGGGGACUCAGUGGAGACCGCCGGGGUCAACUCGGAGGAAGGUGGGGAUGACGUCAAGUCAUCAUGCCCCUUAUGUCCAGGGCUUCACGCAUGCUACAAUGGCUGGUACAGAGAGUGGCGAGCCUGUGAGGGUGAGCGAAUCUCGGAAAGCCGGUCUCAGUUCGGAUUGGGGUCUGCAACUCGACCUCGUGAAGUCGGAGUCGCUAGUAAUCGCAGAUCAGCAACGCUGCGGUGAAUACGUUCCCGGG
rnacentral:rRNA from 1 species